UUCCAGGGCGCAGCGCACGGAUGGCGGGGCUGGAGCGAGCAGGGGCAGCCACCAGGGAGGAAACGCAACGGCUCAUACAGCAAUAAGAGAAGCAGCAGGCCGAGGGGACCAGCCGGAAAAGCCCCGCGCCUGGUGCAGCUGUGGCCCUGGAAGGGGAAGCCUGCCGAUGGCAGCACGGCGCGGGGACAGUCUCGCGCCUGACAGAGCGGCUCAGGGAGCAGCGGCAGCCGCCAGCAAGCAUUGCAGGCGCGUGUAGGUCUAGAUGCGCCACAGACGCGACAAGGACCUGGGAAGGGAGCGCGGAGGAACAGCCGGUCCACCUGAUCACGUGACUGCAACUAUUCACACUCCACUCCGAGCAGCUCUGUCCUGGGAGAAGCGGGGUAUUCACAGCUUUGUCUUAGACGACAAAGCAGGACUGCAGGGUCGUGAGUGCCUUACUUGGAGCGCAGGUUCGCUUCCCGGCUGAGGAACCACACCACCUGUCUGUCCAUGCCAUGCUGUGGUGGCAGCUCACACAGAAGAACUAGAAGGACUGACAACUAGGACAUACAACCAUGCCCUGGGGCUCUGGGGAGAAGAAAAGAAAACGCUUCUUAAAAGAAGAGAGGAAUCCAGACAGCUGAAGCAGGGCUUGUGUGAGACAGACGGGGAGAUUUAGAGGGAAGAGCUGGUCUGCUUGGUUCGACUCCCUCUCUGCAAGCAAAGAUUCUCUCCCCAGGACUGAAAGCAGAGACAAUGUGGCCACAGAGGAGAAUGCCCUUCUUCUUGGAGACGCGUGCCAAGGUGUUUAGGGAUGGAGUGUCAUGAAGUCUGCAAUCUAUUGAUAAACGGUUCAAAAAAACAGCAACAGCCAAACCCCCAUAAAUAGAAAGAUACAGAAAAUGUCAAAAAAUGUUAAAGGGUGUGAGGAAACUCACUGUACACCUCUUUUAACUUUCCUUUAGAUUUGAAAAUUUUUAAAAUAAAGUUGGGAGGAAAACAGGCACAA